UUUAUCACCACCCAUCUGCAGGAGCACUGAGGGAAGCACACCCCAGGCACAAAGACUUUCCUAGAGAGCAACCAAAAUCUCUGCAGUCCACACAGAGGCUCUCCAGCCACAGCCAGGAAAAUGCAGGGUGAUUCAGGAAAAAUAUAAAAUAUAUUUUAUAUAUAUCAGCUAAUAAUUCAGGAAUAAUUUUAGAUAUAUCAGCUAAUAAUUCAGGAAUAAUUGUAGAUAUACCAGCUAAUAAUUCAGGAAAAUGUGAGGGUGAUUCAGGAGAAAUUUCAAAAGAAGAGCUACAGCUGCUCCCCUGCUGACAACACCUGAAAAUUGGAGGCCCAGACUUACGCUGUGUGUUUACACUCUUACACAGAUUCUGCCCUAAUUUCUCCCACGUAUUCUUCCCACUCAAACUCAGUAGGAAUCAGCUGGAGUACUUCCCUAAAAAGGUUGCUAACAGGUGUUAAAAUGACAGACAAGGUGUUGUUGACAGUUUCACUUCUACAGCAAUGAAUGGUGGAGAAAACACAGAAAUGGGCACUGUCUUAUCAGUCUGGGUUUUUUGUUUCAACUUUGAAUGUUCUUUCAUUUCCUUCCUUCUUUCCUCCUGCUCCCAGAAUGCAGGAAGUUCCAGGCAUGCAGUGGAAGAAGGUAACUCGCAGCUGGAGGAUCUGUGCCAAGCACAUCCAUCAAAAACCUCAAAUCCUGCCAAAGAAGCACCUUCUGCCUGCUCCUGGGAGCCCAUUCUUGCUCUUGGGAGCCCUGAUUUGAUUUGACUAAAAUGAGGCAGAACUGGGACUUUUUGCUGUUCCUUCCCAGGGUGACUGAGAUGUCUGCACGCAUUUUGCUCUGGUGGGGUGAUCAGAACAUCGAAAGAGCAACAGGACCAACCUGAAACUAUCGAUCUUCCAAAAUGCUGGGCUGCUAACCAUGGAGAGCAGCCACAGGGGACAGAGGGUGCCUUUUCCUAUGUCCCCAUCCCUUUCCAUAAGGCAGGGCUGGAUGUAGGGCAGGACUUGUGCCCCUGCAGCGGCUCCUGUGGCGGUGAGAACGCCGACCCCUGCGCUUCCAGGAGCCCCAAAUCUGCUGUUUUUGGGGAGUCUCAGGAGCUGGGAGGCACCGAGACAGCGCUCAGGCAGCUCAGGGAGUCCGUGGGAGCUGGAGCUGGCAGUUCAGCAGCUGGCACAGAGCGCUCUCCGAGUUGUUCAAUCAAAGCUCCAGCUGCGAGAAGCAGCCACGGCGCUGGAGGUGUCCUUAUUGUUUGUGAAAUGGUUGUUAAUUAAGGUGAGAUCUCACUGUGCUGGUGUUCAGCCAACACAGGGAGAAAUGGACCUUUCCCUGACAGGUUUAUCAUUCAAACUGGCUACACGAGCAAGCAUAAAGGAUGAUUCAAAACGUCAAGGGGAUAUUUUAUUGUUUCUGAAAACUUUAUGUCGGCAGGUCCCCCACUGCAGCCCCUCUGAUUAGCUGAUUAAUCUCAUGAGCAACAUAACCAUGAGCAAUAUGUGCCUUUCCCUCUGCUCUACUCAAACAAUAGUGACAGAGGCACUGACUGGCUCCACCAACACCAGAUCAGCUUUCAACAGCUGCCUUCCAAAACUGUGUCUCUCCCCUUCACCCACAAUUCCCAAUUCCCAAUUCACAAUUCUGAGCCAGUUCUGCCUGGUUGGAGCAUGGUAGGAGUCAACCCAAACCCUCACAUUCCCAUCUUUGAUUCCUGCUGCUUUACUUUUUUUUUUCCUGUAAUCCUGAUUAUGGUGGGCAAUGUAACUUUGUUUUCAACAUGAACUCAAGCAGUGACCCCGGGGGUGACACACAGUGGAAAUUCAAUUAUUAGCUCUGCAUGUCACUGGGCAGUAUGGCACACAGCCAGCUAAAGGAGCAUAAAAUACUUGUAAAACGACAAAUAAAGCUUCUUAUCUGAUGUUUGAAACCUAAUCA
ensembl:lncRNA